AUUGAACGCUGGCGGCAGGCCUAACACAUGCAAGUCGAACGAGUGGCGGACGGGUGAGUAAUGUAUGGGAAUCUGCCUGAUGGAGGGGGAUAACUACUGGAAACGGUCGCUAAUACCGCAUACCAUCCGAUGUACCCAGAUGGGAUUAGCUAGUUGGUGGGGUAACGGCUCACCCAGGCGACGCUCCCUAGCUGGUCUGAGAGGAUGACCAGCCACACGGGAACUGAGACACGGCCCAGACUCCUACGGGAGGCAGCAGGGGGGAAUAUUGCACAAUGGGCGCAAGCCUGAUGCAGCCAUGCCGCGUGUAGGAAGAAGGCCUUCGGGUUGUAAAGUACUUUCAGCGGGGAGGCGUUACCCGCAGAAGAAGCACCGGCUAACUCCGUGCCAGCAGCCGCGGUAAUAC
rnacentral:rRNA from 1 species